CCUACGGGGGGCUGCAGUGGGGGAUAUUGCACAAUGGGGGGAACCCUGAUGCAGCGACGCCGCGUGGGUGAAGGAGCGUUUCGGCGCGUAAAGCCCUAUCGGCAGGGAAGAAGGAGGACGGUACCUGACUAAGAAGCCCCGGCUAACUACGUGCCAGCAGCCGCGGUAAUACGUAGGGGGCAAGCGUUAUCCGGAUUUACUGGGUGUAAAGGGGGCGCAGACGGCAGCGCAAGCCAGGAGUGAAAGCCCGGGGCCCAACCCCGGGACUGCUCUUGGAACUGCGCGGCUGGAGUGCAGGAGGGGCAGGCGGAAUUCCUGGUGUAGCGGUGAAAUGCGUAGAUAUUCGGAGGAACACCGGUGGCGAAGGCGGCCAACUGGGCUUUAACUGACGCUGAGGCUCGAAAGUGUGGGGAGCAAACAGGAUUAGAUACCCUGGUAGUC
rnacentral:rRNA from 1 species